AGGAGAGGUGAUCGCAAUCGAGAUUUGUUGGAUUUCCACAAUAAAGCCUCGGUUGAGGAAAGUCCGGGCUCCCAAAUGGUCGAACUUGCUGGGUAACGCCCAGUGCGGGUGACCGUGAGGAUAGUGCCACAGAAACACACCGCCGAUGACUUUUUAUUGAGCCAUGCUCAUAACUAGAACAGGCAAGGGUGCAAAGGUGCGGUAAGAGCGCACCAGCAGUAUCGAGAGGUGCUGGCUUGGUAAACCCCGGUUGGGUGCAAGGCAAAGGUUUUAGGAUGACCAUCUUGCCUAUCUCCUAUAUAAAGGCCGCUAGAGGCUGUUGGCAACAACAGUCCCAGAUAGAUGAUCGCCCACUAUCUAAACUUAGAUAGUGAACAGAACCCGGCUUAUGACCUGCUUU
rnacentral:RNase_P_RNA from 1 species